AAGGCUUUAAUAUAAAAGUAAAGAAACGCGCAUAUAUAAACAUAUAAAUGGAAAUUGAUUACAGUAAAUAUACAUCUUAACUUCACAGUAAAUGUACAUCUUAACUUCGCAGUAAAUAUGCAUCUUAACUUCACGGUAAAUAUGCAUCUUAACUUCACAGUAAAUAUGCAUCUUAACUUUACAGUAAAUAUACAUUUUAACUUAUCUUAUCUUCACAGUAAAUAUGCAUCUUAACUUCACAGUAAAUAUAUAUCUUAACUUUACAGUAAAUAUACACCUUAACUUCGGACUAACAAUACAUUUUUUUCUAAUACAUUGUAACUUUACAGUAAAUAUACACCUUAACUUCGGACUAACAAUACAUUUUUUUCUAAUACAUUUGUACUUAGUUUGUUCCAAACUUAAUAACUCAAAGUAAAGAGGAUUGGCCAUUAGCAGAUGGUAGAGGGUCUGGAUGGGAGUUUCUUCAUUCCUGUGAGUUUCUUCAUUCCUGUACUAAUUCAUUUUUUCUUAAACAUAAUUCUUUCUUAUCACGCCCCUGGUAGAAUGAAGGGCGAAAAAAAUAAGUAUAGAGAAAACUGAGCAAAAAAAUAAAGGUGUUUAGUACUCCAUUAUUCUAUAACCUUUAUUUUUUUGCUCAGUUUUUUCGAUACUUUUUUUUGCCCUUCCCUCUAUCAGGAGCGGGUCAAUUCAUUUUAAAAGGGAGUUCCAACCAAAUGUCCCCAUUCAAAAGCAUUGAUCGUCAAGAAAUGGCCAAUGGCCGGUGUUUCAAUACCGGGAACCUCCAAAUGGAAACGCAACUGUUUAUAAUUUUGACCAUAGUCUCUAUUCUGUAAAUCUCAACUAGACCGUCAUGAACUAUUUCAAAUGGUCAACUCUAGUGUAAACAAAAGUUGAAAGUGAGUAAAAUAGUAAAUUAUUCUCUAUUCUUU
rnacentral:lncRNA from 1 species